AAGAAUUUAAAGGUCGAACAGACCUAUUAAUUAAGCUACUGCACCUAAUUAUUAUCUUAAUCCAACAUCGAGGUCGCAACCCUUCCCGUAAAUAUGAACUCUGAGGGAAGAUUACG
rnacentral:rRNA from 1 species